rnacentral:rRNA from 1 species
AUGAAGAUAUGGGGUUGCACGGGAAGCCACCAUGAUUCGCAGUUUGAAUUGUCCCUGCAGCGGAUUGGGGUGGAUAUGCUCGGCACCGGCGCACCACCCAGCAUCCGUAGGCAACAAAAGGAUGAUGGGGAGACCAAGCGAAGUAUUCAUGAUGCUCUGUGUGUUGCAAGGAAUCUGAUCAUCAACAACUCAAUUGUGUAUGGUGGUGGCUCAGCAGAAAUAUCUUGCUCAAUUGUUGUUGAAGCUGCAGCGGAUCGGCAUCCUGAAGUUGAGCAGCUUUACCUGAAAACAGUGGUGGCGCUGGUCGGUCGUCGCCUCUCCACCGGCUAUUGUUUGGCGGCGUCAAGCAGAACGCCGAGGAUGCGCCGCUCUGUCUCAGGGCUCAACGCCCACUUGGACGCAGAGGUUGGCAGGUUCUCGCUCUUCACCGGGGCUCCGACGGUCGUGCUUGGUGUGGCAGCGCUGGACAGCGGCAAGAAGGAAGAGCAUGCGCGGCCCGCGAUGCCAGGCCCCUGGCCCUCCUCCCUCAAGCUCAAGGCGGCGAUGAGAUGGUUGGAAUGGUGCUGCUGCUCCGUAGGGAAUCAGGUUUUAUGCUCGGUGGGGAUGUUGUUUGUCUACUUUUAUCUUAUGCAAAAUAAGGUUGGGAUUAUAUUAUGGGGCAAUUUGUUUUUGUAG